CAGCCGCCGCGGUAAUACGAAGGGGGCUAGCGUUGUUCGGAUUUACUGGGCGUAAAGGGCGCGUAGGCGGGCUGAUAAGUCAGGGGUGAAAUCCCAAGGCUCAACCUUGGAACUGCCUUUGAUACUGUUUGUCUUGAGUUCGAGAGAGGUAAGUGGAACUGCGAGUGUAGAGGUGAAAUUCGUAGAUAUUCGCAAGAACACCAGUGGCGAAGGCGGCUUACUGGCUCGAAACUGACGCUGAGGCGCGAAAGCGUGGGGAGCAAACAGGAUUAGAUACCCCCGUAGUCCCUGUCUCUUAUAC
rnacentral:rRNA from 1 species